GUUCGAUUCUGGCUCAGAUUGAACGCUGGCGGGAUGCUUUACACAUGCAAGUCGAACGGCAGCACGGACUGGUCUGGUGGCGAGUGGCGAACGGGUGAGUAAUGUAUCGGAACGUGCCUAGUAGCGGGGGAUAACUACGCGGCGUAUUAAUACCGCAUACGCCCGCGUCUCAGAGGCAGGAUAAUCUUCGGGCCUCGCACUAUUAAGAGCCGAUAUCGGAUUAGCUAGUUGGUGGGGUAACGGCUCACCAAGGCGACGAUCAACUGGUUUACAGAGGACGACCAGCCACACUGGGACUGAAGACACGGCCCAGACUCCUGGGGAGGCAGCAGUGGGGAAUUUUGGACAAUGGGGGAAACCCUGAUCCAGCCAUCCCGCGUGCGAUGAAGGCCUUCGGGUUGUAAAGCACUUUUGGCAGGAAAGAAACGGCACGGGAUAAUACCCCGUGCAACUGACAGUACCUGCAGAAUAAGCACCGAUAACUACGUGCCAGCAGCCGCGGUAAUACGUAGGGUGCAAGCGUCCAAUCGGAAUUACUGGGCGUAAAGCGUACAGGCGGUUUCAGAAAAAAUGUGAAAUCCAGAGCUUAACUUUGGAACUGCAUUUUUAACUACCGAGCUAGAGUGUGUCAGAGGUGGGUGCGAUGUGGCAGUGAAAUGCGUAGAUAUGCGGAGGAACACCGAUGGCGAAGGCAGCCUCUGGAUUAACAUGACGCUCCGUACGCGAAAGCGUGAGGCAAACAGGAUUAGAUACCCUGGUAGUCCGCCUAAACGAUGUCAACUAGCUGUUGGGGCCUUCGGGCCUUGGUAGCGCAGCUAACGUGAAGUUGACCGCCUGGGAGGCGGAGUGCAGAUUAGAAACUCAAGGUGGCAAGGAUACCACGGCAGUGGAUGAUGUGGAUUAAUUCGAUGCAACGCGAAAAACCUUACCCUUGUAUGGAAUCCGAAGAGAUUUACGGAGUGCUCGCAAGAGAACCGGAACACAGGUGCUGCAUGGCUGUCGUCAGCUCGUGUCUCGUGAGAUGUUGGGUUAAGUCACCAACGCGAGGCGCAGCCCUUGUCAUUAGUUGCUACGAAAGGGCACUCUAAUGAGACUGCCGGUGACAAACCGGAGGAAAAGGUCGGAUGACGUGAAGUCCUCAUACUGGCCCAUGGAUGGGGCUUAUAUUGUGACUGGUCUGGACAGGAUAGCCAACCCGCGAGAGGAAUAAUCCCGAAACCCAGUCAUAGUCGGAUCGCAGUCUGCAACUCGACUGCAUUGAAGUCAGGAUGCUAGUAAUCGCGGAUCAGCAUAUCGCGGUGAAUA
rnacentral:rRNA from 1 species